ensembl:snoRNA SNORA66 Small nucleolar RNA SNORA66
GUACAAACUUAACCACCAGUCCUGCAUGAUGAGGCAGAACCGAAGGGAACAAAAGGUUUGAUGAAGUAAUUUUGGUGACAGAGAUCGAUUAGCCACUGAGGUGGCCCAUUCUAUCUAAUACAGUG